GACUUUACUUGCAAAUGUAGCUACUGCUUUCAGUAAAUCCUGCCAGGCUGGAGAAUUUGUUCUGGGAAGGGUUCUAGGUUUGCACGGCUGGCUCCUAAUCCAGACACCCAAGACCACCAGGUAACAGUGAUGCUGGUGAGGUGCUUUCACUGCUUCGGCUGUACUUCGUUUAUUCACUUCAAGGUCGACACGAUUCCCUUGAAGAGGAAAGGAAACAUCAAGUACGUGCAUGAUUGAUCUGGUUUGCCUGGCCUGUAUUCCAGGGUUCUCGUUUCUUCUCGGUACAUGUUUCUGUUAACGAAACCUUAGCUGCGCAUAUAUCAAGCGAAUGGACUGCCGUCUUCUCUGAACACACUGCUAGUGCUAGUGCUAGUUUCUUCUCGAUACAUGGUUCUGGGAAAUGAAGAAAGAAUAGUCUACUCUGAACGCUGCACGUUCCCACUGCUAGUGCUAGUUGAGACGCCGGAGCACAAAUGGACUGCCGUCUGCAGGUAACGUGUUAUUUUCCUGUUGAGUUAAUGCAGCCGAAUGAAGUGUGUUUCCUUAUAGGACAUCAGCAUUAAUUUCAGCAGCUGAAUUUGAUAUAUACCUGUACUCUGUUGCCGCUUUGGUGUGUAUAGUUUAUCGUUGGCUGUU
rnacentral:lncRNA from 7 species